rnacentral:rRNA from 1 species
UACAGAGGUCUCAAGCGUUGUUCGGAUUCAUUGGGCGUAAAGGGUGCGUAGGCGGCGCGGUAAGUCGGGUGUGAAAUCUUGGAGCUUAACUCCGAAACUGCAUUCGAUACUGCCGUGCUUGAGGACUGGAGAGGAGACUGGAAUUUACGGUGUAGCGGUGAAAUGCGUAGAUAUCGUAAGGAAGACCGGUGGCGAAGGCGGUUCUCUGGGCCUUACCUGACGCUGAGGGAGCGAAAGCGUGGGGGAGCGAACAGG